GCACUUCAGCAUGCUGGGGCAGGCUGUGCCUGCAUGGGCUUUGGACCAUAAUUCUGUCACUAGGGUAUUCUCCUCCCUGUGGAGAAACAGCCCCUUCUGGGCUGACUGUGCUGCCAGCAGCUCCCACUGCUCGCUGGCCCUCUCUUGUAAGGCCUCACCUUCCCUGACCCCUGAGGAGCUUGCAUGGAGUCACCUUGCAGAGAUCACUGCACAAGGCUUCUCAGAUAAAGUUGUGUGGAUAGACAAAAUGUAGGAGAAUAUAGAUAGUGGUGAAGGUAAUCUGGCCCCUAAGGAGUUACAGCUGUGCCAAUUAUCAAGCAUUAAGAACAAGCCUGCCCUUAAUAGGCCACAGCUGGAUCAAAUUAAGAGGGGUAUUGUAAAAGAGCAGGUUGGCUGGUCAAGAUGUGAGAUGGAGUUUGUUGGCUGUGCUGAGAAGAAGAAAGAAUCAGUGCUGCGAGGAGCUGCCCAUGAGAAAUCAUGAAGAAGGAGGCUGAGAGAGGUAUACAUGUCCCAACGUCAGAUACAUAAAUCCAAUAACAUCCUUAUCUUUACCAGUGCAAAAGAGGAACAAAGUAAUUUCAUUUCCAGAGUAAUGCACAAAUGUUUGGAGACCUCAAAAGAGACUGGUAUAGUCGCAGUCAGUUCGACAGAGAUGGAAGGAAGAAGGGUUUGUCACUACUGUGUGUUGCAUUAUAGAGAGACCAGAGACAGAGGUAAAUAUUUCUGUAGUGUUCAUGAAUUCAAAUGAGCGAUUCAUACUUAUAUUGUUUUCCAUUAUACAUCCAGGAACUCCUGGUCAAAUGCUGCAUUCAUAAUUUCUCAUGAAAUACUUUUCUGUUAAAAUAUGUUGCAUAAAAAACUCUGAACUGUGAAGAAAACCAUGAAAUACCUGGACCAUCCAACCUAAAGAAAAUAGACUUUGGUAGAAUACCUACACUACUGGAAAGUUUUAAUUUUUCAGAUAUGUUACAGGUGACUUAAACACCACAUUUACGAGCACCUUUACUAUCCUGUUGAUGUAUUAAAGAACCUAGAAAUAAAGAAACACACUUUUGAGACAAUAUUAGUGUAGCAGGUAGUAUAAAGGCUGGUCUUUAUUGGAGGUCUCCAAAGGACAGAUAUGGAAAAAUGCCCAACCCACAUAGGGUGAAUGCAGUUUUACAAGUUCAGAAAAUUACAAGUUUUACAAGUCCAGAAAUUUACAAGAAUCCCCAGUUAGAAGCACAAGUGUGAGGUAAUUCCCUCCUUUCGGUUUCACCUCUCCUGUUGUCCCCCUUUAGAUAGUUUGUUUAUGAAAGUGUGUCUCAAAGCUGGUUUCAGCCUUGGCUCCCAAGGAGAACCAAGAUAGGAUAGGGUCCUUUGAGCUCCAUCCUUUGGAGCCUCUGGAAUGUGUUCUUUCUGCCUAGGAGGGUAGGAAAAAGGUAGGGGAAAGUACUGGAGCUAGCUAGGAACUAUAUAACCAUACAACAAUAGUCUACAGAGUGAGAAAUACAUAUAAAGGAAAUAAAAAAGCAAAAAUCAUUCUGGCCUCACUGCAAUACAUCUGCACAGCAGUGCACAGAAAACUCUGCCAAUUACAGGCUACAUUUUGCUUUAAUAUGUGAAAAAAUCGUUUUGGCAGCUGCAUUACUGAUCCAAAUAGCAAUACCUUUACAUGCCUCUGGUUGAAUAUCCAUGGAGGACUUCACAGAACAACAGCAAUGAAAUGAGCUAACCUUCCACAUAAAUAGAGAUGAUUGGAAAAUGUUCUGUCAAAAUUGUGUUAAUCUGGACAUGUCCUUUUUAUGUUACAUGGAAAAAAAGAAUUUUGAUUUCCUUGGAUUCCUUACCUCCCUGUUUUACAAAUAAACAAGAAAAGUGUGUCAGUAUGUUUCUUGGUUUGGUUG